rnacentral:misc_RNA from 1 species
AAAAACCCACUGCUGCAGCAAGAGAAGAAUUGAAACAAUCAAACAGAAGGGAAAUUUAGCGAACCUAAAUUAAAAGAUAAGCUCACACUAUCACUACCGGUUCCAAGGAUUAUAAUAUGGCAAUCAGCUUCUACUUCCCACCAAAACCAAUCCCCAACAUUCUCUAAUAAUCAUCAUACAAACACGCUCCACAAUUUCAUGCAGCAUAUCCAAUUUUUACUACCUUUGACAAUCCAUAUCUAUAGAUAUGCAAACUAGCGUGUUGACGCUAAACCCCCAAAGCAUUUAGACCACAGACUAGAAAGAGUGGGGUUCCAUAAUGACAAAAUCCAAAUCAACAAUUCUCAAACUCA